AGCAAGCUAUGAUGAAAAAAUUAUCAUUGGCUUGAUCUGUGGUGAUUAUAUAAAUAAUCACCAUCUUUUGGCUGAGAUUGUA